rnacentral:lncRNA from 1 species
UUAGCGCACAUAAUUAAGGAUAAUAUUAUAGUUUUUGUUAAGGAACACGAUUCAUGUAUGCUUUGACGAACAACAUGUUCAAGGAGCAAAUUAGUCCAAGCAUGCAUUAUCUCAUAGACCACAACAACACUUAUUUCAUUUAUUUAUUUAUUAGUCAUGAGAUAGAAGAUGGAGGAAAUUCAACCAAUACGAGGAACCCUAAUCACCUUCCCUUUCUUGUUGACCCAAACACGAACCCUGUCAAUCCUAUAGUCCUUAGUAACUGGAGUUCCCUCAAGUAAUACGAUUGCAUGAACACAAGGAUUCUCUUUCUCUAUAAUAGCAGCAGCAACCUUCCCGUUUUUACCAACCAGCUCUGGCCAUGAGCUCUUGCCUGUGAAGGAUUUCAUAAGAAAAUUAAACUUUGUUGAGAAAUGAUCAAAAUCUCCAAGUUGUUUCAAUAAUGAAAUUAAAAAAAGGAAAAGCAUGGCGUUUUAUACUUACGUGGACAAUCAAAUGCAGACGUGACUAGGUUUGGUCCAUCUUCCACAACUCCUUUCAAUGCAGAUACGAUGACUUCAGAGCGAAGCUCCUUGCCAUCGGUCAGGCAAGGCUCAUGACGAGCGGCCAAAGAGGGUUUUGCGGCGAAGGCCAAGAGAAAGAAGAAAAGGGCCAGUGCUGGUAAUGAACUCUUCAUUGCUAAUAAUUGUUAUUUCGAAGGCUCUUUGCAAAGUGAAACUGAAAGCAGAAGAGCUUGCUAUUUAUAGGGCCUAAACUUGCGUGCCAAAUUUUAUGAUUGAUUAUGUGUGUGGUCAUGAAAUUUUACCGAAUAAUUUAAUUUUCGUUGGGGUAAAAACCAUUUAUUCAUUAUAAUUUGACUUAAGUGCAUGUUUGGGCAACAUAUAAUCAAAUAAGAAAAAUAACUAAUAAUCAAAACAAUAAAAUCAAAUUAAUACUAAUAAUUACUCACUUGAUUAUCAAGUACUAAAAACACCCUUUGAGGCACCCCACUGUAUAAGGUCAAGUCCAUCUCAUCAAAAGGAGGUCUACCUUUUCACUCUUUCAACUCUCUUGCUUCAUGCAUAUUUUUGAAGUUUUACUGAAGCAUAUCCUCUCCAUCAUUUACUUAGAGAUGUCAAAAUACCUGCCUGCCCGAGACCUAGACCGGACCAGACCUUACCCAGUGAUGAGUUCAGGCGGGAUUCGAUUUCACUUGAUAAGUCCGAGGUCCGACUCAAAAUCCAAAUUUUAUAAAAAAAAAUUAUAAAAUAUAUAUUAUUUUAAAUAAUUAUAUUUAUUUGACCCAUAUAUUACAUAUAUUUAAAUUUUUAAACACUAUAUCUUCAUAUUUUGAAGCCUAAUUUCAUUAAAAUAAAAUUUAAAGUUAUAAAUUUAUAAAAUAAAUUAUAUAAUAUAUUUAUAUAAUAAAUUUCUGGUGGGCAUGCUCAACAACAAGUUUAGGCAAGAUAGACCUUUCUUCCAAAUCCUUCCUAGAAAAUCCGAAACAUCAUCCUCAAGAACAAGUCCUUAAAUGUUUAGGCAAGAUAAUGGUUGAUUAGAAUGUUACCAAAACACACAUUAUCAACUAAAUGGUGAUUGUAGAGCAAUAAAAUUUACAAAUACUAAUGGGUGUCAAUAUUUUUAUAGCCAAAAUAAUUUUUUUUAAAAGCAAAAUAUAGAGAUUGGAAAAUACCAAAUUACCAAAUACUUUUGUAGGCUUCAUUGGUCAAUAAACUAGUAAAAAAGUCAUUACAUUGUUAAAAUAUGCAGUCAUAAGCCAAGUCCACCAAAAAAAAAAAAAUCAUUUUCACAUUCCAACUACCAAGCCGACAAAUAAAUCAAGUUCACAAUCCAACAACUACUCAUAAUAGUUUAUUAUCCGUAACUCAAGUCCUAAACAACUACCAAAUUAAAUCAACUACUCCUACCAGAAGCAACAAGAGCUUGCAAUCAUCAGCCAAAUUCAACUAGCAGGAUCAAACUAAUGGGUCACGAAAAUAAUUAGCAAAGGAGCAAAUUAUUUGAAAUUUCUUGUAUAUUUUUUUUUUGUUUUACUCAUUAUUAUUAUUAUUGUUAUAUUAUUUUUUAAGCCCAAUCUGAUACAUUUAAACUAAGUCCAAAGACUAUUACAACAUGCAGUCCGGCUGUAAUAAAAAUACAACAUGAUUAAUUGAUUAUUGUCGUAAACAACUAUUUAUGGGACUACGGCUUUUGUCUUCCACCUACAUAAGAAUUUAUUGUCAUCUUCGGUGACUUUUGAAUAGACUUAAACAAAUCAAAACAAAGAAGAUAAAAUAAUUGUUGGCCAUUUCUGGCCCGUAAUUAUCAUCGCAUGCCAAUGUAUCAACGUCAAAAAUAAUUUUUGAGCAAUUAGGGAUUAGUAAAAUCUGGAUCUGGGUUCGGGUUCAAUCUUUACGGUUCUAAACUCAGAUGAUAAUAUGGUACUCUGGAUUCGGAAAUUUUAAAUCCGAGUCCGGUCUAGGUUCAACCUGGAAAAAUCUAGGUUUUCAGAUUGUGGGUUUCAAACCCGGAUAUGUAUAUAUAUAUAUUUUAAUUUUUAGUUCUCCAGCCACGUCGAUAUUAUCCUCGUAUCAUAUCUAUUUCACCCGAAAAAGUAAAAGUAGUCAACACUUGAAUUCAGUUGGGCAGCAGUCAACAAAUUGAAUGGUGCGCUUGGUCUUGAUGGUUGCAACGGUAGCAUUCACAUCUUAGGGAACUACAUCACCUCCGUAAAUCAGGCAGCAAGCCAUGUACUUGCCAAGGCGAAGAUCACACCUGGCCAUCAUAGAUGACGGCUCAAAUGCGCUGUUGAUGAUCUGGGCAACAGAGAGCUGCUCAUGAUAGGCCUUGUCGCGAAGGCACCGAAGCGGCGAAACGACGAUGACGAAAUGGGCAAUGGUUGACGGCUGUGCUGAAUUGAUGAAAAGGAGAAGAAAAAGAACAAUGAUUGGCAGCUGUGUUGACUAUUGAAUUAAUGAAGAGAAGAGGAAAACGGGCAAUGGUUGCCGGAUGUGUUGAAUUGAUGGAGAGAAAAAGAAAAUGAUUGGCGGCUGUGUUGAGAUUUGAGAAGAAGAUGUAAGAGAGAUUAUAAUAUUUUGUAGUUUGAAAUUUAGGGAGAAAACGGCUAGCCGAUUGUGAAGACAACGGCUAACCGUUUUCGUCCAGUAAGCAUGUUUUCUUGCUUCUACAAAUACCGGCUAACGGAUUUUAAAAUUCGGAAAACCGGUUAAUUCCAGUGAGUUCUUUGGACAAGAAAUGGCUAGCCGGAUUUAAUAACCGGUAAACCGAAUUUUUACAUAAUGCUCUCUGGACAAAAAUCGAAUAUCCGGAUUUUUGUAUCCGGCAAGCCAGUUGUGAACAUAUGCUAAUUUCAAACCAAAUGGUGUGUUUUUGAAGAAGUACCAUUUUAAAUGGUUGUAAUUUUAAGAUGAAAAAACGUCUUCUUCAUCAUAUAGACACUAAUAUAUCAAUAAAAAACUAGAUGUUUUACAAAUUUCAUAAAUGUUAUUGGAAUAUAAUCUUAUUUAUUAGAGAUUAUAUUUAGCAUUUAUUAUAUCUUGGGGGUAAUUUGCCAUUAAACUCUAUAGCAAACCAAGAGUGGUGAGGGCAAAUAAAAUCUAAAAGGAAAGUGUAUAAACACGUCUCAAAUCCUAAGUAAUUUCUUUGCCUUUUUAUAUUAAAAAAUUUUUAAAAUAUAAUAUUAAUAAUAAAGAUAUCCAAGUCCAAGUGUCUGAUAUCCGAGUUCACCUAAUCCUGGAUCGGGACUUAUGUAUGUGCAGUUUCAUGAAACUGGUGCCAAAUUCCUGAUGUUAUUUGUGUCUAGUGCAAGUUGAACUUGGCCCAAAUUAUUAGGGGUGGGCAAAAAAACCGUGCACUAGAGAAAACCGAACUAAACUGAUCCGAACCGUUCCGUUCGGACCGGUUUUAAUAUUUAGAAAAAACCAAAAUAUAUGGUUUGUAAAAAAAACCGAAAUGCAGGUUCGGUAUUCGGUUCACUUAACUGAACCGAAAAACCGGGUUAUUCUUGAAAUUUUAUUUAAAUAGACACGCGUUAAAUUUUAAUUGGUUGCGUAAGAUAACUAAAAUAGGCAUGCACACACACGAUUACGGGUAUAUAUAUAUUUAAAAAUUAUUGUUGGUGUUUGUUUCCAAAUUUUCUUUUUAUUUUGUGUUGUAAGUUUUAAUUGUUGUUAUUUUUAUUUAUCUUUACAACAUUAUGUUUAUGUAGAUGGAGUAUUGAAGUUUGAUUAUGUAUUUUGAAAUCUUAAUAUUUCAUAUUUUGUAAGUACCUUAUUAGUAGUUAAUAAGAUAUUAGUGAUAAAAUGUGUUUUGAAUACUUUGUAUUUAUUGUUAAUAUUUGUAAUGAAAUUAGGAUAAAUUAAUUGUUGAAAAAAAUUAUUACAUUCAUGAGGCCUAAUUGGCUAAAAAUUUAGAAAUUCAAAAUAGGUCAAAUAGGCCCAAAACCGAACCGAACCGAACCGAUCCGAAAAGAUCCGUUUAUGUUCAUUUUUUAUUGAGUUUGGUUCUUAUUUAGUUCUUUUUAUAAAAUAACCGAUUUAAAUCGGUUCUGCUUAAUUUCGAUCCGAACCGAACCGGACCGAACCGUGCCCACCCCUACAAAUUAUCCAAGUUCAUCGGGGUCUGGGCCUAGUCCGGAUUAUUUUGCCAUCCCUACCAAUAAUAUUAGCAAAGUUAUAAAAAUAACAAUGUACAAACUCAUUGUCUCAUUCUGGGUAUAAUUAAUAGAUCAUCUGGUUUAAUAUGCAACGUAAAUUAAAUCCCAUUAAACAUGCGUAUUCUAAGAGUUAGGUUUAAAAUAUUAUGGUCUCACGUCCAUGUAAUUCAAAAUUUGACAGUAGACCAAUAUAUGGAAGAUGAAAAAAGGAGAAAAAAAGAAAAAAAAUGAAUUUUUUGAAUUUACUUUUUAUGAGAGAUUUGGCUACCUAGAAAUAUCUGUACUGUUUAUUUUUUCGUCUGGCCCUGCUGCCUCCCCUUAGUUCCGCCCAUCUGCUGUCUACUAUGCAUUCCAAUUUCGGAGAGUGUUCCUCCAGUAAAUGGUUUUUGCCCACAACCAAUGAACGGUGUCCCUCCAUUAAAUGGUUGAUUUUGCCCACAACCAAUGAAGGAAUCUCAAAAUAGAUUUCAAAGGGUAUUUCCCAAUACUUAGUGUGGAGAUUCCGAAGAAUAUGAAAGCUACCACAGAUAGCCACAUCAAAGCAAUACUGGAAAUAUUAGACUCUCCAAUUCUUACCCUGAAUGUAGGCAUGAUCUUGUUCGUCAAGAUAAUGUAAGCAAGGGAGAAGCUGAUCACCAGAAAGAGCAAAACUGAUCUGAACCGCUGCCGCCAUCCGAGAAUUACAAUCACAGCCACACAAGUCACGAACAGAGACGAAUUGAACUCUAGGACAUAGACGAUAGCUGGCAAUCCAUCGGACAUCACAUCCAUAGCUUGUAACGUUGUUCCUUGAGAAGGGCAGCACGGCACAAGGUAAGCAAAUAAGUAAUUGAAAAAAAAAAAUGACCUUCCUUAGCCAACUAUCUAACAAAAUCUUCAAUACAACUACCUAAUGACGAAAACAUUAUAGCCAGAUAAUUAAUUAACUACUUGACAUAUCUAAAGCUUUUACCGUCAGGAUAAUUUUCUUCGAGAAGUUUAAUUCUUAUAUGUAAGAGCAUAUUAUUUUCAAUCUACAAAAAUUAUCAAAAAGUCAACUCAGCACGAAUCUAAAUUUAUGUUUUAUAAGAGUUUUAUUCUCAUAUAAGAAUCUUGAUUGUCUCUAAAAUCCACAAAUGAUAAUUAUCUAUCACAUGUCAUAGUUCAUGGUCCAAAAUAUAACACUAACACGUAAAAUUCCUAGUUUACAAAUAAAUAUACUAUAAAAUAUUAAAUUAUAUUAAAAAAAGAUGUACUAGUACAGGUUUGAGGUUUGGGUUAGGUUAAAAAUUUUCAACCUAUGCCAACCCGUAAGUAGUGUGGGUUGAAAAAAAAAAAGCAAUCCCUUUGACUUGGUGAAAUAUUAUUAUCCAAUCAACCAACAAGAAAUUGUGCGGCUUAUGCGGAUUGUCUGGAUCUAAGCUAAAAUAAUUUCAUUUAGAUGGCUAAUCGGGAGUCAAGAGGUGCUAUUUUAUUUAAUUAUAUCAAAUUGUUUUAACCGUAAACGGCUACUUGUUUUCUUAAAAGAAGAAGCUAAAAUAUGAGUGUUCAAAAUGUGGAUUAAGUUGCAAAUAACUCCUAACUAUUUUUAUUUUAAUUCUUCCACACUAACUUUAUUACAUUUAAAAGGAGAAAUACGCGCCGACUAAUAUUGUGUUGUUCUUAACCCUUUUCAUAGGUGUCACUAUCAAAAGUUUGUCAAUGGCAAUUAAUGAAUUUGACGAAAAAAGGCCCAACAAUUAUUGAUGAGGUAUGUGUUAUAUUUGAUUAUCUCAAAAUAAAAAUUAUUACAUCAUUAUUGACCAUAAGUAUCUUACUAUUUCUUAAUAUUUUAAAAAUAUAGCCAACCUAUGUUUUUAAAAUUUACAAAAGAGACAUGCUAACACCACUUAAAAGUAGUUAUUACUUAUAAGUAUAAGAGUAUCAAGUUAUAAUAUAACUCGGUGAAUCUAAAGUCGAACCACAAGAAAUUUAAAAAUAUGAUAAUCAAUUAUUAAAUAAAAAUAAUUGCAGAAAAAGAAGUUAACAAGGACUAGCCUAUAUUAAAAAGGUGCUAAGGUUACGAGAUUCAUUAUUGGUAUUCAAAUCAUGGCCAUAAUACUCUCUCAUAUUUAUAUUUUGGAUUUUUUUACUAGUUUGAAUAUUAUGUGACUUAGUUCUUAAUUAACCACUUUUCUAAUACUGUAUUGGUGCGUUAAUAUUAAGUCUAAACACCCACAUAAAUCUAAGGGGACCUAGAUCUACAAAUAUGAAUUACUCUAUGAACAAAAAUGGGAAUUAAGUACAUAAUGUGAUACGACUAUAUUGGAAUAUUCUGGCUACCACAUUGGUGUGUCAACAUUAUGUUAAAUCAAGUGCAAUGAGGUGCAUGUGAGCUCAGAUACGUUGUACGAUCUCAGCUGUUUUGAAUUAAUGAUGGAUGGAAGGGCUAACAAUUCUUCCAAAGGCUUCUAAGUCUCCAGAGUCUAAAUUUCCUAUUAUCUUUUCUAAUCUAAGCAUCAUGGAAUUUAGGGAUUUCCUUAUAAAGCAACAAAAAAAAUAUAUAUUUAUUUAAGAACUAAUUAAAAUAGAUAAUUCAUAAAAUGUGUUUGUGAUUUGUAAAUGUAAUGAAAUUGUUAGUGGUAUCAACACCGUAAGUGAAAAAUGAUAUGUUAACUUUUAUUAAAUGUACAAUUUUUAGUGUUAAUUAAUCAAUCUACUCAAUAUAAUGUCAAGCAUCACUGUAAAUAAUAGGCUUAAACGAUCUCAUUAAAAAAUACCCAACAUUUGCAAAGUGGUACAUAUUAUUUUGAUAUGUUUAAUCAUGCUAUAAUAUAUUCUUUUGAUAUUGUUAGAAACAUUUGGUGAUCGAUAUUUGGGUGAAAUCAUUUAAAAAUAUUAUUUACAAUGAUGCAUGAUGUAAUGUGAUUGGGGAGGUUGAUUAAUAAAGUUGGUUGAAUAUUGGAUUAUUUUGUGAGUGUUUAUUUUACAGAUUUGUAGAUUGAAAAUGUGGAACGAGGAGACUUUGCUGAUUUUCCAUAAAAUAUUUAUUAAUGAUUUUAUUUAGUCACGAUUCCAAAUAAGUCUACCAUUAGAAUUCGGGACGGGUCAUUUCAUAAUGUUGGUAGGCAAGAAUACAUCUACAAGUUACCUAUUUUCGCAAUAUAUAUAUCAAUGAUUUCAAUAUUUGAUUCGUGAAAUCGUAAAUGGAUAUCUUUAGGAGUAUGGGCCAUCAUACGUGUUAAAAAACCAAAAAUGGAAACCGAAAAACUUAUAAACCUCUAUAGUCGAUCUCAUCCAAAUCAAUUCUGGCUUAAGAAUCAAUCAAUCGAUCAAUCAGUCAAUCAAUCAAAAAGUGGUAAUGAGAAACUCGUGAUGAAAUGCCUUAAAAUCUACGCCACUGAAUCGGAUCGAUGGUGCCUUAUCAUUCAAUCGUAGUAUGUGGAGAAAAUACAACCAACUGAGAUUUAGCAGCAUCCCCUCUUCACAAGAAGCCACGGACCUAUCAUUAUCAUAUGAAGUGUCCUUUUUGACAUUUUUGUUCAUUGAACUCAUUGAAGCACAUUGACAAGUAUAUCCAAGGUCUAGCUCUACUAAUUAGUGGGUAAUCUUCCUAAGAUUUAAGUCUUGAGUCUCUGAGUCUCAUGUAAUGUGCUAGAUUAUUAUUCUAAUAUAUUGCAUUUUAUAAUUCUGUUACUGGUUCGAAAGGCAAUCAAAACCUUAUUUUUUUUAUUCCCUCUAGUGAUAUGCAAAAUGGAUCUUGCUUUGACUUUUUUUUUCCUCAUAUCAUAUACCAUAUAAUAAUAAUAGUAAAUUCUUAAUUUUUUUUUGGGAAUUCGCAGGCGUAAAGUGAAAAAUGAAAAAAAAAUCAAACCUUAUCAUCGCACAUUUUAACUUAAAUUUGGGUUUCCGCCCUUAUUAACAGAAAUUUAAAGAAAUUAUUCAUGAUAAACCAUAAAGAGGGAUUAGCGCACAUAAUUAAGGAUAAUAUUAUAGUUUUUGUUAAGGAACACGAUUCAUGUAUGCUUUGACGAACAACAUGUUCAAGGAGCAAAUUAGUCCAAGCAUGCAUUAUCUCAUAGACCACAACAACACUUAUUUCAUUUAUUUAUUUAUUAGUCAUGAGAUAGAAGAUGGAGGAAAUUCAACCAAUACGAGGAACCCUAAUCACCUUCCCUUUCUUGUUGACCCAAACACGAACCCUGUCAAUCCUAUAGUCCUUAGUAACUGGAGUUCCCUCAAGUAAUACGAUUGCAUGAACACAAGGAUUCUCUUUCUCUAUAAUAGCAGCAGCAACCUUCCCGUUUUUACCAACCAGCUCUGGCCAUGAGCUCUUGCCUGUGAAGGAUUUCAUAAGAAAAUUAAACUUUGUUGAGAAAUGAUCAAAAUCUCCAAGUUGUUUCAAUAAUGAAAUUAAAAAAAGGAAAAGCAUGGCGUUUUAUACUUACGUGGACAAUCAAAUGCAGACGUGACUAGGUUUGGUCCAUCUUCCACAACUCCUUUCAAUGCAGAUACGAUGACUUCAGAGCGAAGCUCCUUGCCAUCGGUCAGGCAAGGCUCAUGACGAGCGGCCAAAGAGGGUUUUGCGGCGAAGGCUGUUAGAGUGCAAUUUAUGCACUAGUUUUGCAUUGUUUACUUUCCUUAAUAUCGAUAUUUUGCACUUAAUAAUAGUGAUUUACUUGUGUUUUAUUUUUGUAGGUGCAAUUCUAUUGAUUGAUGCUAAAAUUGAGUUACAAGAUGAUAUUUGAGGAUGAUUGUUUUCUUGGAGAAAUUUUGAGCGUCAGAAAAACUUUAUUGAUAAGGCGUGGGCGCGUGCUGUCAACUACGGACCUGUAGUUUUUAGUUUAACGUGUUUUGUAUUUUUGGUUAUUUUUGUAAUUACGAAUUUAAUAUUUCAGAUAUUAGUAUUUUAUUUUAAAAAAGAUGAUGUUUAAGGAUGAUUGUUUUCUUGGAGAAAUUUUGAGUGUCAGAAAAACUUUAUUGAUAAAGCGUGGACGCGUGCUGUCAACUGCGGACCAGCAGUUUUUAGUUUAACAUGUUUUGUAUUUUUGGUUAUUUUUGUAAUUACGAAUUUAAUAUUUCAUAUAUUAGUAUUUUAUUUUUAAAAGAACUCUAGAGGAAAAGAGAGAGAGAGUAUUUAAGGGAGGAAUCUAUUGUGAAAAAGAGGGGAUUUUUCAAGAAAAGAAAGAAACCCUAGAUCUAAAUUUUUCUCUUCUCUCUAUGAAGAACUAAAUCUAUUAUUCUGGUUGAAGGUUAAUGAAGCUUUGAUUCAUCACUACUGUGAGAUCUUUCUUAUACUUUAAUUGUUUUAUUACUUUUUGGGUAUUUGUUUAUUCUCUGAAUUAUUUUGAUGAUUAUGUUUGUUAAUUAGAUAACUGGCCACUAUUUAAUUAUCAACUUAAUCUCUUGUCAAUUAAAGGAUUCAUGGUAUGAAGAUUUUAAUGUUUGUGACAAAUAGCAUAGCAGUGAGUUAUGUUAUGAGAAUAAAUAAUCUAAUUUAAAUGAACCAUCGUAUGCGUUUGUUGAUUAGGAUUUGGGUGUCUCUGGUUUUUUAGGCUAUCAAUUAAUUAAAUCUUAUGAUCGUAUCUAGGGUUGUCUAUUGAUUAGGGAAAUAACAAACGGUCGUACCUUGGUUAUCAACUAGUUAAGAAGAGAUUGACUAUUAGAGGGUCUCAGUAGGUAUAAUCGGUCUAUUCAUAAGUAGUAAUAAUUUAUAUUUGAAUCAAUGAUCAGUAGUCGAAUCAAGCUGAGUUAAUUCCUUCAACCAGAGCUUUCUCCAAUUUGAAUUACAACUUUAAUUUGCAUUCUUAUUAUUUUAAUUUGAUUUUUAUUAUUGUCAACAAUUCCCCCAUUUUACGUUUUACAUUUUAAAAGGAUUUAAAUAAUUACCGAUCUCUGUGGACAUGACCAUGCUCAAUCACUAUACACAAUUUAUUUAGAGCAGUUAUUUAUUUUUGCUGGCUUCGACAACCAUCAAAGGCCAAGAGAAAGAAGAAAAGGGCGAGUGCUGGUAAUGAACUCUUCAUUGCUAAUAAUUAAUUGUUAUUUCGAAGGCUCUUUGCAAAGUGAAACUGAAAGCAGAAGAGCUUGCUAUUUAUAGGGCCUAAACUUGCGUGCCAAAUUUUAUGAUUGAUUAUGUGUGUGGUCAUGAAAUUUUACCAAAUAAUUUAAUUUUCAUUGGGGUAAAUACCAUUUAGUCAUUAUAAUUUGACUUACGUGCAUGUUUUGGCAACAUAUAAUCAAAUAAGAAAAAUAACGUUAUGGCAACAUAUAAUCAAUAUUUUUAUAGCUAAAAUAAUUUUAAAAAAGCAAAAUAUAGAGAUUGGAAAAUACCAAGUUACCAAAUACUUUUGUAGGCUUCAUUGGUCAAUAAACUAGUAAAAAAGUCAUUACAUUGUUAAAAUACGCAGUCAUAAGCCAAGUCCAUCAACAAAAAAAAAAAAAAAAAAAACAUUUUCACAUUCCAACCACUAAGCCGACAAAUAAAUCAAGUUCACAAUCCAACUACUACUCAUAAUAGUUUAUUAUCUGUAAUUCAAGUCCUAUACAACUACCAAAAUAAAUCAACUACCCUUACCAGAAGCAACAAGAGCUUGCAAUCAUCAGCCAAAUUCAACUGGCAGGACCAGACUAACAGGUCUCGAAAAUAAUAAGCAAAGGAGCAAAUUAUUUGAAAUUUCUUGUUUCUUUUUUUUAUAUUUAGUUUUACUCAUUAUUAUUAUUAUUAUUGUUAUAUUAUUUUUUAAGCCCAAUCUGAUACAUUUCUGCCAAACAAAUAGAAACGUACAGCUCCGAUUUUGCUAAUAAAAAUUAUUGCCAAAUUUAGCUAACUGAUCUACGAAUUAUUAAAUCAACAUUAACCAAUAUCAGAGAUCACCCAAGAAAAGAAACUGCUCUUUUUCCCUGGCUAAACUAACCAUAUUCAAGGCUCAGACUCAGAUCAAUACUUGGAACAACCCCUGCAUCUUUGGCCACUUACAAAUUUACACUAAUCUCAUAGCUUCUGCCUCUGCAACUGCAAGCCCAAUACCUUCUAAUUUGGAACAGCUAGAGCCAUACAUUUCGAAGUAAACUGCAGUAUUGGCUGCUGUAUCACUAGCUGCAUCUACAUUCAAUUACAAUCUGGGUCUUUGCUUUACUCUUCUGAAAGAGCAAAUGAUUGCUACAGCUCUUGCCACCAAGAUGGCAACUACAUCCCUCUACAUUGGAUGGAAUGUACAGAAUAUUCAAUUACAGGUUAAAAUACUUGGUCUUUGAUGUUCAAUAAUGGCAAAUAUGCAUGUAUCAAGCAUUAUCCCUACAAAUAUUAGUAUUUCAGUUCAUUGAUGCAUGAUUCUUUGACAGCAUGUUGGCAUAUUAAUAAAGACGUGGAUAAUUUUGUUGACCUCACUUGAUAUUUCACUCAAACAGAAGCAAAUCACACUUGUUUAAUUUUUUGCAGGAACUUUUACCACAGGAUGAGGAUAUUUCUGGCAAAUUUUAUUUUAAGAACAAUAAGAUUGGGACCAAUAUUAGGUCUAUUGAUUAUGGUUUGGAAUUUUUUUUUUUAAUUUUGGUGGAUAAAAUAUGUCAAGUUUUUGGGAAAGACUGAAUGAAAGAUGUUUUGCUAUUCCAGUCAAAUUUUAUGAUUCCUUUAACCAAUGGUAAUUAUAUGUUGCCUAUUUUAGUGCUUAUGCAGGCAGGCAGGCUCUGGAGAGAAAUUAUCAUAUCCAUAUCAAGUAAAACCAUUGCGAUACUGCGUGAAGGACAAAUGGCCCAUGAGGAAGGAGAGCUUGGAAAAUCAUCUUUUCAAAAGAACUUAAGGAAAUUUAGAUCCUGUUUAGAAUUGAGGUGUUUUAACUUUUAAGUUACAGUUAGUUGUGAAAAAAUGUUGUAACUAUGAAAUAAAAAUAAUAAUACUAUAUAAGUAAUAUAAAUUUUCAAUAAUAAUUUUAACAAAAUUAGUGAAGAUAUAAUCGAUUUUCUAUCAUAUAAGUGAAAAAUCAUAUCAACAUAACUUUCAAGUUACAACAGUUAGUGUUUACCAAACACUUUGGUAAUGUAGCUUUUAAGUUAUAGUGCCCAGCCUCAAUUCCAAACAGACCCUUAGAAGCGAAAGAAAACAAAGAUUGCAUGUCCAUGGGUAUUUUUGCAGUAAUCGAUGAAAUGCCUGAUUGCAAAAUCCUUUGAAGUUGAAAUUGCAAAGGACUUGAAAGACAUGAAAUUGCCGUUAGAGUUGCUAAAACCCCGGUUGCUAUACAAAGUUCCAAGAAGCAAAAUAUUUAUAGAAAUAUCAAGCCUUUAAUUAAGCUAAGGAGCUAUAUUGGAGUGUUCCUAUUAUGGUAUUGUUGUAUCAAUUGACUAUCAGUAAAAAGUAUACAUUUAAUAAAGGUGAAAUUUAUCAUUUUUCAUUUCUAGUAUUGAUAACACUAACAAUUUCAUCACAUUAUAAAUUUUAACUUAUUUUAUGAAUUAUCUAUUUUUAUUUAUUUUUAAGUAAGAUUUUUAUUUUCUGUAGGUAAAUCCCUAAAUUCAUUAUGCUUGGAUUGGAAAAACGAAAGUGAAAUUUGGAUUUUAGAGACUUAGAAGUUUUUGGAAGAAUUGAUAUCCCUCCGAUCCACCAUUAGUUUUAUAUAGCUGAGAUCAUGCCAUGUGCCCGAGUUCAUGUGCACCUUGUUGAAAUAUUUAACGCUCAUCAAUUGGUAGAUCAACCACCUUGACAAAUGAGUCAAUAAAGGGUCCUACUUUAACUUCAUUUAUAAUAAUUGAUUAUGUUCAAUCCAUCGAUCCAUAAUGUUGCAAUUUUGGACUCUUGAAUUGUAUUAAUAAAGUUCAUCUAAAGGUUAUGGUUGCAAGCUCAAUAAACAUAUCAUGUAAAUGCCCACAUUUGUUCAACUCAAAAAAAAAAAAUUUACUUGUACAAAGGCAAGACACAAAUUUGUUGAGAAAUUUGAGAGGUAAGUUUUGUAGAGAACUUAGGUGUAAAUUUAAAGUGAAUUUUUGGAAAAAAUAUCUAUUCUCUUCUCUUUUUUUUCCCCUCAAUUUUCUUGUGUCGUAUAUCAUAAAUUUGUUAAAUAAAAUGAGCGUUUUACUCGUCUAUAUGAGUUGCUAAUUUUCUAAGUCAAGGUGAAGGGUGAAACUUUUUCAAGUGAGUUUUAACUUUAUUGUUUUAAUAAUAUGUUUAUAGUUUGUACUUUUUACCUGUUAUUUUCUUAUCAUAUUUAUCUAUAGAUUUAGAUCCCCUUUGGAUCUAUAUGGGGCUUAGACAUAAUGUCGACACACCAAUGUAAUAGUGAGAACACUCAAAUGUAGAUAUGGCACAUUAUAUACUUAACCCCCUUAUUUAUCCAUAGAGUGGUUAGUUAAAAACUAAGUCACAUAAUAUUCAAACUAUUAAAAGAAAUACAAAAAUAAAUAUGACAAAGUAUUAUAACCUUGAAAUCUUGUAACCUUAGCACUUUUUUUUUAAUUUAGACUAUUCUUUAUUCAUUUCUUUUUCUGCAUUAUUUUUAUUUAAUAGUUGACUACUAAAUUUUUAGAUUCUUUGUUAUUUGACUCCAGACUCAUUAGGUAAUAUUAUAACUAGGCACUUUUAUACUUAAGAGCAAUAAUCUACUUUUGCGUCGUGUCAUGAACAUUAUAUCUAAACGCCCACAUAGAUCUAAGGAGAUCUAAAUCUACAAAUAAUUAUGAAAUGAAAACAACAUAGAAAAUAUAACUUAUAAACAUGUAACUGAAAAAAAAAAAUUUAAAACUCACUUGAGAAAGUACAUAAAUCUACAAUUUGAAUAUGUAAGGUCCACCUCUCACCUUAGCUUAGAAACUAUUGAAACACACUUGAGAAAGUAAUUAAAUAUUGAUAAGCAAACACUCAUUUUAUUUAAUAAAUUUGUGAAAGUACAAUACAAAGAAACUGAAAACAAAAGAAAAGAGAAGAGAAAAAUCUCUUCUUAUUUAAUACACUUUUUCCUAAAAUUCACUCUAAAAUUACACUAAUUUUUACUAUAAAAAUCAAAUCUCAAAUUCUACAAAAAUUCUACAAGGUCAUUUAUGAAAUCUCUUGCCUUUAUACAAACAAAUUAUAAGUUGAUCAAGUGUGGGCAUUUACACGAUAUUUUUAGUGAGCUUCCAACCUCCUUCCAACCACAACCUUUAGAUGAGCUUUACGAACACAAUCCAAGAGUCUAAAAUUGCAACCAUUGUGAUCAUUACGAACCAUUGGAUUUAACAUUAUCAAUGGUUACAAAUGAAGUCAAAAUGAAACCUUCCAUUGGCUCUUUUAUCAAGUUGGUUGAACUACUAAAUUGACAAGUGUCAAAUCUAGUGUAAGGAGAUUCAUGUGACCUCAAGCAAAUGGCAUAAUCUUGGCCUUUCAGAAUUAACGUUUGAUCAAAAGGCUAAGAAUUCUUCUAAAGGCUUCUAAGUCUCUAAAAUUCAAAUUUCAUGUCCUUUUUUCGAUCCAAUAAUCAUGAAUUUAGGGAUUUACAAUUCAUAAAAUAGGUUAGAGAUUUGUAAAUGUGACGAAAUUGUUAGUGUUAUUGAUAUUGUAAGUAAAAAAUGAUAAUUUUAACCUUUAUUAAAUGCAUACUUUCUAAUUUUAAUCACACACUCCAAAUAGCAUAUUAUUAAUCCCUAGCGAUUAAAGUGCUAAUUGUAAUAAAUAAAAGGGUAGAUACUUGUUUAAUUCUUAUUUUUAAUCUAAUAAAAUUAUUAAAAAGUCAACUCAGCAGCAAUCUAAAUUUAUAUUUUAUAAGAGUUUUAUUCUCAUAUAAGAAUCUUGAUUGUCUCUAAAAUCCACAAAUGAUAAUUAUCUAUCAAAUGUCAUAGUUCACGGUCCAAAAAAUAACACUAACACAUAAAAUUCUUAGUUUACAAAUAAAUCUACUAUAAAAUAUUAAAUUAUAUUAAAAAAAGAUGUACUAAUACAGGUUUGCGGUUUGGGUUAAAUUUUCAACCUAUCCCAGCCCGUAAAUAGUGUGGGUUUAAAAAAAAACCAAUCCCUUUGAGUUGGUAAAAUUUUAUUAUCCAAUCAACCGACAAGAAAUUGUGCGGCUUAUGCGGAUUGUCCGGAUCUAAGGUAAAAUAAUUUCAUUUAGAUGGCUAAUCGGGAGUCAAGAGGUGCUAUUUUAUUUAAUUAUAUCAAAUUGUUUUAACCGUAAAUGGCAACUUGUUUUCUUAAAAGAAGAAGCUAAAAUAUGAGUGUUGAAACUGUGGAUUAAGUUGCAAAUAAAUCCUAACUAUUUUUAUUUUAAUUCUUCCACACUAACUUUAUCACGUUUAAAAAGAGAAAUACGUGCCGACUAAUAUUGUGGUGUUCUUAUCCCUUUUCAUAGGUGUCACUAUCAAAAGUUUGUCAAUGUCAAUUAAUAAAUUUGACGAAAAAAGGCCCAACAAUUAUUGAUGAGGUACGUGUUGUAUUUGAUUAUCUCAAAAUAAAAAUUAUUAGAUCAUUAUUGACCGUAAGUAUCUUACUAUUUCUUAAUAUUUUUAAAAUAUAACCAACCUAUGUUUUUAAAAUUUACAAAAGAGACAUGCUAACGCCACUCAAAAAUAGUUAUUACUUACAAGUAUAAGAAUAAUAAGUUAUAAUAUAACCCAGUGAAUCCGGAGUCGAGCCACAAGAAAUUUAAAAAUCUGGUAAUCAAUUAUUAAAUAAAAAUAAUUGUAGAAAAAGAAGUUAAAAAGGAGUAGCCUAAUUAAAAAGGUGCUAAGGUUACAAGAUUCAUUCUUGGUAUUCAAAUCAUAGUCACGGUACUUUCUCAUAUUUAUAUUUUGGAUUUUUUAAUAGUUUGAAUAUUAUGUGACUUAGUUCUUAAUUAACCACUCUAUGAACAAAUAUAAGGAUUAAGUACAAAAUGUACCGUAACUGUAUCGAAACAUUUCUACUACUGUAUUGGUGCAUUAAUAUUAAGUCUAAACACCCACAUAAAUCUAAGGGGACCUAAAUAUACAAAUAUGAAUUACUCUAUGAACCAAAAUGGAAUUAAGUACAUAAUGUGAUACGACCACAUUGAAAUAUUCUGGCUACCACAUUGGUGUGUCAACAUUAUGUUAAAUCCAGUGCAAUGAGGUACAUGCGAGCUCAGACACAUGGCACAGUCUCAGCUAUUUUGAAUUAAUGUUGGAUGGAAGGGCUAACUAUUCUUCCAAAGGCUUCUAAGUCUCCGGAGUCUAAAUUUCAUGUUCGCUUUUCUAAUCUAAGCAUCAUGGAAUUUAGGGAUUUACAUAUAAAGCAAAAAAAAAAAAAAAUCAUAUUUAAGAACUAAUAAAAAUAGAUAAUUCAUAAAAUAUGUUUGUGAUUUGUAAAUGUGAUGAAAUUGUUAGUGGUAUCAACACCGUAGAUGAAAAAUGAUAUUUUAACUUUUAUUAAAUAUACAAUUUUUAAAGUUAAUUAAUCAGUCUACUCAAUAUAAUGUCAAGCAUCACUGUAAAUAAUAGGCUUAAACGAUCUCAUUAAAAAAUACCCAACAUUUGCAAAAUGGUACAUAUUAUUUUGAUAUGUUUAAUCAUACUAUAAUAUAUUCUUUUGAUAUUGUUAGAAAUAUUGGGUGAUAUUUGGGUGAAAUCAUUUAAGCAUAUUAUUUACAAUGAUGCAUGAUGUAAUAUGAUUGGGGAGGUUGAUUAAUAAAGUUGGUUGAAUAUUAGAUUAUUUUGGGAGUGUUUAUUUUACAGAUUUGUAGAUUGAAAAUGUGGAAUAAGGAGUCUUUGCUGGUUUUCCAUAAAAUAUUUAUUAAUGAAUUUAUUUAGUCACGAUUCCAAAUAAGCCUACCAUUAGAAUUCGGGACGGGAUAUUUCAUAAUGUUGGUAGGCAAGAAUACAUCUACAAGUUUCCUAUUUUCGCAAUAAAUAUGUCAAUGAUUUCAAUAUUUGAUUCGUGAAAUCGUAGAUGGAUGUCUUUAGGAGUAUGGGCCAUCUUACGUGUUAAAAAACCAAAAAUGGAAACCGAAAAGCUUAUAUACAUCUAUAGUCGAUCUCAUCCAAAUCAAUUCUCGUUUAAGAAUCAAUCAAUCAAUCAGUCAAUCAAUCAAAAAGUGGUAAUGAGAAACUCGUGAUGAAAUGCCUUAAAAUCUACGCCACAGAAUCGGAUCGAUGGUGCCUUAUCAUUCAAUCGUAGUAUGUGGACAAAAUACAAUCAACUGAGAUUUAGCAGCAUCGCCUCUUCACGAGAAGCCACGGACCUAUCAUUAUCAUAUGAAGUGUCCUUUUUGACAUUUUUGUUCAUUGAACUCGUUGAAGCACAUUGACAAGUAUGUCCAAGGUCUAGCUCUACUAAUUGGUAGAUAAUCUUCCUAAGAUUUAAGUCUUUAGUUCAUGUAAUGUGUUAGAUUAUAAUUCUAGUAUAUUGCAUUUUGUAAUUCUGUUACUGGUUCGAAAGGCAAUCACAACCUUUUUUUUUUAUUCCCUCUAGUGAUAUGCAAAAUGGAUCUUGCUUUGACUUUUUUUUUCCCUCAUAUCAUAUACCAUAUAAUAAUAAUAGUAAAUUCUUAAUUUUUUUUUGGAAUUCGCAGGCGUAAAGUGAAAAAUGAAAAAAAAAAAAAAUCAAACCUUAUCAUCGCACAUUUUAACUUAAAUUUGGGUUUCCGCCCUUAUUAACAGAAAUUUAAAGAAAUUAUUCAUGAUAAACCAUAAAGAGGGAUUAGCGCACGUAAUUAAGGAUAAUAUUAUAGUUUUUUGUUAAGGAACACGAUUCAUGUAUGCUUUGACGAACAACAUAUUCAAGGAGCAAAUUAGUCCAAGCAUGCAUUAUCUCAUAGCCUACAACAACACUUAUUUCAUUUAUUUAUUUAUUAGUUAUGAGAUAGUCGAUGGAGGAAAUUCAACCAAUACGAGGAACCCUAAUCACCUUCCCUUUCUUG